rnacentral:rRNA from 1 species
CCUACGGGUGGCUGCAGUCGAGGAUCUUCGGCAAUGGGCGCAAGCCUGACCGAGCGACGCCGCGUGUGUGAUGAAGGCCUUCGGGUUGUAAAGCACUGUCGGGGGGGAGAAAGGGGCAACCUUGAUCGACCCCCGGAGGAAGCACGGGCUAAGUUCGUGCCAGCAGCCGCGGUAAGACGAACCGUGCGAACGUUGUUCGGAAUCACUGGGCUUAAAGGGCGCGUAGGCGGGGGCACAAGUCCGGGGUGAAAUCCCACGGCUCAACCGUGGAAGUGCCUUGGAUACUGUGUUUCUUGAGGAAGGUAGGGGCGUGCGGAACUUCCGGUGGAGCGGUGAAAUGCGUAGAUAUCGGAAGGAACACCGGUGGCGAAAGCGGCGCGCUGGACCUUUACUGACGCUGAGGCGCGAAAGCCAGGGGAGCAAACGGGAUUAGAUACCCCUGUAGUC